CAGCCGCCGCGGUAAUACGAAGGGGGCUAGCGUUGUUCGGAUUUACUGGGCGUAAAGCGCACGUAGGCGGACUUUUAAGUCAGGGGUGAAAUCCCGGGGCUCAACCCCGGAACUGCCUUUGAUACUGGAAGUCUUGAGUAUGGUAGAGGUGAGUGGAAUUCCGAGUGUAGAGGUGAAAUUCGUAGAUAUUCGGAGGAACACCAGUGGCGAAGGCGGCUCACUGGACCAUUACUGACGCUGAGGUGCGAAAGCGUGGGGAGCAAAAAGGAUUAGAUACCCCCGUAGUCCCUGUCUCUUAUAU
rnacentral:rRNA from 1 species